rnacentral:rRNA from 1 species
CAGUCGCCGCGGUAAAACGAAGGGUGCAAGCGUUACUCGGAAUUACUGGGCGUAAAGCGUGCGUAGGUGGUUGUUUAAGUCUGCUGUGAAAGCCCUGGGCUCAACCUGGGAAUUGCUGUGGAUACUGGGCGACUAGAGUAAGGUAGAGGAUAGUGGAAUUUCCGGUGUAGCAGUGAAAUGCGUAGAGAUCGGAAGGAACAUCUGUGGCGAAGGCGACUAUCUGGGCCAUUACUGACACUGAGGCACGAAAGCGUGGGGAGCAAACAGGAUUAGAUACCCCAGUAGUCCCUGUCUCUUAUAU